rnacentral:siRNA from 1 species
UUGCUUUUCACUUUCACUCUCA